GUCGUCAGCUCGUGUCGUGAGAUGUUGGUUAAGUCCCGCAACGAGCGCAACCCUUAUUGUCAGUUGCCAGCAUUCAGUUGGGCACUCUGGCGAGACUGCCGUUGACAAAACGGAGGAAGGUGGGGACGACGUCAAAUCAUCAUGCCCCUUAUGUCCUGGGCUACACACGUACUACAAUGGCAAUAACAGAGGGCAGCCAAACCGCGAGGUUGAGCGAAUCCCAAAAUAUUGUCUCAGUUCAGAUUGCAGGCUGCAACUCGCCUGCAUGAAGUCGGAAUUGCUAGUAAUGGCAGGUCAGCAUACUGCCGUGAAUACGUUCCCGGGCCUU
rnacentral:rRNA from 1 species